UCGACGAAUCGUAGCGGUUUGGGUGUAUUGGACAACCCUCAUGCGUUAUUCGCAUUACCUCGCAUUUGUCGAGAUUGAAGAGCCGACUUCAUUUCUCAGUCCAUGCUGCUAGCUGGUCGGUGUCGGACUGUAGCUCCUGCGUUUCUUUUUUUAUGUUUGAAAGUCCUCGAUGUAUCUUUGUGUCGUUGGUGAGCAACUUCAUCUUGGACGAGAUGUUUGAGUUUAUAUUAUAAAAAUAUAUUAAAAAAAAGAAAAGGACCCAGGAUUGUGCCAUAGACAACAUCAGAUUACACAAGAAACCAUGAAGAAUAAGUGCCACGCACCACGACGCGUUUCAGGCGGUUAGUUACGAAAUUUCUGAACUAAAACAGAAGGGGUCCAUCAAUCUCAUACCACUUUAGCUUAAGCAGUAAUCGUUCGUAGUGUAGAGAAUCGAAUGCUUCGAAAAAAAAAAUCUGUUGGUUUCGAUCUGUUUCUGAAUGUCGCUCAGUCGUUAAAUCAAGAUAGUAAUUGCGUUUAAGUGGACUUCGUUUCAAGAAAUCCAAAUUGCACACAAUCAAGGUAAGCGAGAUCUGCCGAAAUUUCCGGGGCUCUCUGCAGUCUUUUUUACCCUUCUUGUGGACGGGGACAAUAUCGGCUAUUUUACACGCCAACGGCACCUGACUAGUAUCGAAGGGGCUGAUGAGCGAAGAGAGGUCGCUCACUCGACGGCGCAUCCUUCAGCACGCGCGGUGAAAGAAUCAGGCCCGUGGGACUUGUGCGAGUUUAGUUUCGUAAGAAGGUAGUUAAUUUCGUUUACAUUACAUUGGAUAGUUGACAGUUUGAGAUCCACGACGUUGCAUUAUCCUCAGAUGUAAAGACGGACGAAUAAUUAGAAUUCAUGUUUUCGGUGAUUAGCUUUUUUAUCCUUUACUCGCAGAUGAGAUGUAAUUCCUAAACGCUUUCGGGUUUCCAGAUAUCUUUAGAUCGGCAGAGAUCGUAUUGAUGAAUAUGCAAAGCAAGUUGAGAGCUGUGUUAUUUCGUAGUAACAAACCUUGCUUUUCGCCAAAAGUGCUUUAACCCUCAAAACGCACUUGAUCUUGUGAACCCAUCACAGGCUGACAAUCAGAUCUUCUUUUAAUGGUGCGAGAACUCCAUGGGGUGGGGGUUGAAUUUUACCCUCAAUUAAGCAAUGAAUUAGUUUCGGUCUCUGAGUGUUGACGGAUUACAUAAUUAACGAAAUUAUUGAGUGAUAUAAUUCCACCUUAUUAUAUUUUUCAAUCAAUGAUCAUCAUAUGUUAUCACUAAUUUAAGCGGUUCUUAAAGACUUUCCAAUUUUCAUUUUAAAUCGUAGCGCCAAAGAGAUCCUUAUCGGCAGCGGCCGCCACAGGAAUAGGAUUGGGUUGUGUGGUCUUUCUUCUACUCGUCUUCACAGCAGUAUAUUGUCUUUUCAUUGUUAAAAAGAACAGGAGAAGUACAUCUCCGAGUGAUGAAGGCAAUGAAAUGGAAAAAUGCACAAAGGAAAAUAACAAAGUAUCUGCACCUGAAGCCUGAGCAUGAUUUGAACUUGUCUACUUCCUGCCAGUCCGGAUCUUAAACCAGUUUAUAUUUAUUUGGAUUUUUUUGUUUUAUAUUGUGUGUAUUAAGGCACUUAAAAGUCUCAUUCGGGGAGUGGUCUAAUCAUUUUUUUUCCUCAACGACCGCCCAAGUUUUGCAGAGAUUUAGGAGAAUUGGCCCGAGGAAUAGAAUAGAGAAGAUCGUGUCUAUCUGCCCGUAGUUAGACUCUACCCAAACCCUUGACAAAGAGUGUGGAAACAAAGGAAACCCUAUUCACAUAUAACUAAAACUAAUUAGAGCAAUUUUCAAUUCAGUGUCGAAAGUAAUUCGAGAUUUUAUCUAUUAUGCUUCACUUUGGGCUGUGAUUCUGAGUCCGGAAAAGUCGCACUACACUCUCCACCAAUCAGCUGAAAAACUUAAACCAAUCACAAUUCGGUCGUCCGCGUUUUCCCGCGCUUUCCGUAGUUUUGUCGGUGUUACUAUGAGUUCUUGUUGGUGGUUAAAGGUAUUUUCCUUUAGUAAGGACUCAGUCAUCAAAGAGUAUAGUAUUUGUUGUUGUCGGUAGUGACCGAAUGUUUGUUAAGUCAUACUGAGACAGCUAUUGUGAUGUACUUGAAAGACUGUGCAUUUCGAGGAAUUUUGGACGCAACAGGCAGUUUGUGUCGGUGUGUGCUAAGCUGUGGUCUGUGGAGGGCAUAAUUAAGUUUUAGAGGGUGAUCAUUGUUAGUAUUCCCUACACGAAUCGCUCCUUAGUAAAAAAAAGUGUCAGUGGGAAGUUAAAAAGAACGCUGGCAUCGCGAGAGAGAGCAGACAGGCAUGGUUUUCUCGAGUGUGCCUGACUGCGCAGGCUCGCUGUAACGGAGUAAAGUAAAACGAUUUGCAUUAGUCCUUCUUGGAAUAAAAGCAGUACCCACACAUCGUAAAA